UUAAAACAUACUAGGAAAAAACCUAGCUAUGUCUACCCAUGUUUUUUACGCACCUAAAGUUUCCUCGGCGGCUUUGUCCGCCAGUUGGACAACAAUUAAACCCUUGUAGUUGCAGUCAGCGUCAAAUAAACUUAAUAAUUA
rnacentral:misc_RNA from 1 species